AAACAAGCAAUGAGGGAUAUCAGGGAGGAAGAAGCUCUAUUUCUCAAGAUCAAAUGAUGCAUCUCAUGCAAUUUUUCCAGAAUAUGCAAGGUGUUGGUCAGGGUGGUUCAACAUCAAAUGUCAAUGCAAAUCUUGUUCAAUGUGCUGGUAACAUAUUUAAUGAUCUAGUAGCUUAUUUCACUUAUGCCAACUCUUUCUCUUGGAUAAUUGAUUCAGGAGCCUCUGAACAUAUGUCAUUUCAUCAUAAAUUUUUCAUUAAACUCAUUGCGUUAAGUUCACCAUUAUAUAUUAAUUUACCUAAUUCAUUCAGGGUCAAAGUUACACAUAUAGGGACUGUGACACUCUUUCUAGAUUUAAUCCUACAAAAUGUCCUAUUUGUCCAUCUUUCAGGAUAAAUCUGAUUUCUGUUCACAAGUUUUGCAGGCAAUUUUUAUGCAGUCUAAACUUUUUUUAUCACCAUUGUUUUCUGCAGGACCCUUCAGUGAAGACCCCUCUGGUUCUUGGUGAAGCUAAGGAUGGAGUCUAUAUUUUGAAUUCUUCUAUCAACCAUUCCAAGAGUUUCUUUAAGUCUAGUUUCUCUAGUAUUUUGCCU
rnacentral:lncRNA from 1 species